AGAGUUUGAUCCUGGCUCAGAACGAACGUUGGCGGCGUGGAUUAGGCAUGCAAGUCGAACGAAUCCCAGCUGGGUAACUGGCUGGGGGAAGUGGCGAAAGGGGCAGUAAGGCGUGGGUAACCUACCCCGGGGACUGGGAUAGCCUUCCUAACGGAAGGGUAAUACCGGGCGAUCUGGCGAAGGGGCAUCUCUUUGCCAGGAAAUGAGUUUCGCCUCGGGAGGGGCUCACGUGGUAUUAGCUUGUUGGUGAGGUAACGGCUCACCAAGGCCAAGAUGCCUAGCGGGUGUGAGAGCACGACCCGCGCCACUGGCACUGAGACACUGGCCAGACUCCUACGGGAGGCUGCAGUCGAGAAUCUUCGGCAAUGGGCGCAAGCCUGACCGAGCGACGCCGCGUGUGCGAUGAAGGCCUUCGGGUUGUAAAGCACUGUCGAGGGGGAGAAAAGCCCGUAAGGGUUUGAUCGACCCCUGGAGGAAGCACGGGCUAAGUUCGUGCCAGCAGCCGCGGUAAGACGAACCGUGCGAACGUUGUUCGGAUUCACUGGGCUUAAAGGGCGCGUAGGCGGGCGGUCAAGUCAGGGGUGAAAUCUUUCAGCUCAACUGGAAAAGUGCCUCUGAUACUGAUCGUCUUGAGGGAGGUAGGGGCAUGUGGAACUUCCGGUGGAGCGGUGAAAUGCGUAGAUAUCGGAAGGAACGCCGGUGGCGAAAGCGACGUGCUGGACCUCUUCUGACGCUGAGGCGCGAAAGCUAGGGGAGCAAACGGGAUUAGAUACCCUCGUAGUCC
rnacentral:rRNA from 1 species